rnacentral:tRNA from 1 species
GGUAAUAGCUCAGUAGUAGAGCGUGUGCCCAGCAAGAACAAGGUCCUGGGUUCAAUCCCCAGUACUGCCA